rnacentral:misc_RNA from 1 species
AAGUCGUAACAAGGUUUCCGUAGGUGAACCUGCGGAAGGAUCAUUAUUGAAUACUAUUGGGCGCUGUGCUGGCUCUUCGGAGCAUGUGCACGCGUUCUUUAUUAUCUAUCUCUUGUGAACCUAGUGUGGGCUUUGGAGGAACAGUUUGGUCUUUGUGCCUGCUGGGAAUCUGAAGACCAUUUUUAUAAACAUUUAAAAAAGUUAACAGAAUGUCUUCUUUACUUGACGCAAGUCAGUAAAAAACCUAUACAACUUUCAGCAACGGAUCUCUUGGCUCUCC